GAUGAACGCUGGCGGCGUGCCUAAUACAUGCGAGUCGAGCGAACAGACGAGGAGCUUGCUCCUCUGACGUUAGCGGCGGACGGGUGAGUAACACGUGGAUAACCUACCUAUAAGACUGGGAUAACUUCGGGAAACCGGAGCUAAUACCGGAUAAUAUAUUGAACCGCAUGGUUCAAUAGUGAAAGACGGUUUUGCUGCCACUUAUAGAUGGAUCCGCGCCGCAUUAGCUAGUUGGUAAGGUAACGGCUUACCAAGGCGACGAUGCGUAGCCGACCUGAGAGGGUGAUCGGCCACACUGGAACUGAGACACGGUCCAGACUCCUACGGGAGGCAGCAGUAGGGAAUCUUCCGCAAUGGGCGAAAGCCUGACGGAGCAACGCCGCGUGAGUGAUGAAGGUCUUCGGAUCGUAAAACUCUGUUAUUAGGGAAGAACAAAUGUGUAAGUAACUAUGCACGUCUUGACGGUACCUAAUCAGAAAGCCACGGCUAACUACGUG
rnacentral:rRNA from 1 species